ensembl:lncRNA
GGUGAUUUCCCUCUUUAAGUUUUCGUUAUGAUGCAGUUAUGCGUGCUGUGUCCUUUAAGAGUUUGUGCACGCGCACGAUAGAGAGAGUGCGCGUCAGAGGGGAACAGAGAGCGCGCUGAUUGAAGCAGCAGGUAAAAGUGAGGAGAAAAUAGUUGAUAAGAAAUUGUUAAAUGGAUAUAAUCCAGGCUGAUUAUCAACUCGUGGACCUGUGGUGGUUUUAGUUGUGUGACUGCACCGAGUGGAUGACUUAAGUCAGUGUUUAUAUUAGUGUUUGUUGCCGCAUAUGAGAGAUCUCCGGUGGGGGAGGGGAUUCAGGCCUACUUCGACGGAGAUUGAGCAGGGGAGAACAAGCUGGUGAGAUCGCAUGUGCCAGUUUCCACGUGAUUGAUAAUCCGGAGUCUCAUAUAACAGGGUCUGUGUCAUCAGGAAGUUUGAAAACCCAUUCUCCGGGAACGAGAGAGGAGGAGGAGGAAGAGAGAAAGAAAGAUGACACUGUGACGGGACACGGACAGGUACAAAUCUGACAGUAAUCUGCCUCUUCUCUUCUAAUCAUGCUGUCGGUGUGAGAGAUGAAGGCUGAGGUUUGGAGAUGGACAGUUCUGUGCUGUGAUGUUGGCUAAUGCUCUUUCAUUGUGCGGCAUUAACUGAUGAGAGAGCGCCGGCACUCUGCUGAUUAACACAGCCCCGUUUCAAACUUCCUCAUCAAGAAGAAUAGAUUUGCCCCAGUCUGUCACCCCUUGUAUAAACUCUAGAUUUACGGGCUCACUUCACACUGUAUUUGUCAUAAGAAACGUAAGCUGUAAAAAGCUGUGAACUGACGUUAUUGUAAAACUCACAGUCGCUGGAGGAUUCUGACACCCUC